GGGGCCGCAACGGCUUCGACAGGCUGGCGAAAUCCAAAUUGUGAUUCAGGUCGAGAGUGAGUCUCCUCUCGUAAAUACAAGACUCAAAACAAUAGUAACUGCGAACAACAUCGUAAGCUUCAAGCGCGUAGCAGUAGCUGCGUAGAACUCUCUCAUAGAGUCGCUUACCUCUGACCUGACUCCGUUAAGGACUCGGAGGUACCAACCCCAACGGAUGCCCUUAAUAGCUACCUCUGGUUGGCUGUUGAGCUAAGACUACACCAGAGCAUCCCACCGUUCGGGAGAAUGAGCGGUUCCCGUCUGAGGGUCAGAAAGACUAAGCCUGUGAAUGAGCGGUAGGUCAAUACCCAGUCUGGACAGCAGUUCGACUCUGCUCGGCUCCAUUC
rnacentral:tmRNA from 20 species